GCCGGUGUAGCUCAAUCGGUAGAGCAACUGAUUUGUAAUCAGUAGGUUGGGGGUUCAAGUCCUCUCGCCGGCACCA
rnacentral:tRNA from 1 species